rnacentral:tRNA from 1 species
GCCGCCAUCGUCUAACGGUUAGGACACAAGCUUCUCAAGCUUGUUAUAGGGGUUCGAUUCCCCUUGGCGGUACCA